rnacentral:lncRNA from 1 species
UGAUUAUAAAAAUUUUAAUAUAAAACUGUAAGCUCAUUUUUAAAUUCAAAUACAUGUUGUAGUUUAAGAUAGACUAAGAAAUAACAACAGAUCAUAUAUAGUGUUCACAGCAAAAUAUCCUGAGUAGGUGCUUUUCCCUGUUCAUAUAUUUUGUUUCAAUAUUUCGAAUUAUGCCAAAAUUGGCAAAUUAAUACAGAGACUGUAACCAUGAAGUAGAUCUAAAUUCAAAAGCUUUUAUUUGAAUGUAAAUUUAUGGAUCAAUAUGAAGCAUUAAAGGAUACAAAUUUAUGGAAAAAUGAUACAUAAAAAAAAAUUCAUGUUCCAUUACAAAAAUUAGUGGACUGUAAGAGUUAUGAAUGUCUCAGUAAAAGUUUAAAACAAAAUAUGAAAAAGUGAAAAUUGUUCAUCAGCCUUCAAUUGACCACUGUAUGUUUUUGUUCCAUGUGAACAGUGAAAAAGAAAAAUCUUUGUUUAUGGGAUAAAUUGUUUUUAGUUCCUUGAAUAAACUAAUUUGUAAAAUUAGUAUCUAACAAAAAAAAAAGUUUUCAAGCAUGUGUUAAUAUUAAAAAAAAAAAUGUACUUUAUUUUACUUCAUUUUAAUUCACCACACCUUUUUGAUGCACAUUUUUGAAAAUAUUGCCCAGAAUGCAUUGCAUUCUAAAAAUAUUUGUUGGAUUUCUUCAAAAUAUUUGGUGAUUUAUAUGAAACAUUGACACCAAAGUGUAAAGUUGUGAAGGGAGAAACUUAUAUGCAAUAAUUCUGAUCAUUUGAUCAAAGAUUUCAAAACUAAGUAUUUAAGAUUAUGUAUUUCAAUUAUAGAACAUUUAUUUUUAAAUAUUUUGAUUUACAAAUAAUACUUUAUAAGUUUUAAAUACAAGCUAAAAUUUACUUAUAAAUUGCUAAUUUCAAAAUAAAUAAAUAAUUACAUAUAAUAUUGGUUUACAAAAUGAAACACAUACAUUUAGCAUAACAAAAAUAAUUUCAAACAAAUAAAUUCUUUUGCACAUUACCAUUGCACACAAAUCACGAAGUUUUAACAGGCAUAUUAAUCUAUUUCAGAAGUAUCUCAUCCUGUAACCAAAAAAAUCAUUAUAACAACAUAAAAUGUAAUCAACACAGCACAAACACGCAAAUCAUAUCCGUUUGUUCUAUUUUCUUUUU